rnacentral:rRNA from 1 species
AGUUCGAUUAGCUCCAGAUUGAACGCUUUGGCGGGUCUUUACAUGCAAGUCGAACGGCAGCACGGACUUCGGUCUGGUGGCGGUAUGGCGGGCGGGUGGAGUAAUGUAUCGGAACGUGCCUAGUAGCGGGGGAUAACUACGCGAAAGCGUAGCUAAUACCGCAUACGCCCAUCCAGGAAAGCGGGGGACCUUCGGGCCUCGCGCUAUUAGGAAACGGCGAUAUCGGAUUAGCUGGUUAAUUUAAGGGUAACGGCCUGAAGGCGGCGAUCCGUAGCUGGUUUGAGAGGACGACCAGCCACACUGGGACUGAGGCAGCGAACUCCUACGGGAGGCAGCAGUGGGGGGAAUUUUGGACAAUGGAAACCCUGAUCCAGCCAUCCCGCGUGUGCGAUGAAGGCCUUCGGGUUGUAAAGCACUUUUAGCGCUGGGAAAGAAACGGCACCUUGCGGGAUAAUACCCGUGCAGCGAAGCUGACGGUACCUGCAGAAUAAGCACCGGCUAACUACGUGCCAACGGCCGCGGUAAUACGUAGGGUGCAAGCGUUAAUCAGGUAUUACUGGGCGUAAAGCGUGCGCGGGCGGUUCGGAAGAAAGAUGUGAAAUCCCAGGCUUAACUUUGGAACUGCAUUUUUAACUACCGAAGGCUAGAGUGUCAGAGAGGGAGGUGGAAUUCCGCGUGUAGCCGCAGUGAAAUGCGUAGAUAUGCGGAGGAACACCGACGAAGGCCUCCUGGGACGGCGCUCAUGCGAAAGCGUGGGGCAAACAGGAUUAGAUGCCUGGUAGUCCACGCCCUAAACGAUGUCAACCUUGCUGUUGGGCCCUUUUGGGCGCCAGUAUUGUACAGCUAACGCGUGAAGUUGACCGCCUGGGGAAGUACGGUCGCAAAGAUUAAAACUCAAAGGAAUUGACGGGGACCCGCAUAAGCGGUGAUGAUGUGGAUUAAUUCGAUGCAACGCGAAAAACCUUACCUACCCUUGACAUGUCUGGAAUCCCGAAGAGAUUUGGGAGUGCUCGCAAAACCGGAACACAGGUGCUGCAUGGCUGUCGUCAGCUCGUGUCGUGAGAUGUUGGGUUAAGUCCGCAACGAGCCACCUUGUCAUUAGUUGCUACGGCGAAAGGGACACUCUAAUGAGACUGCCGGUGACAAACCGGAGAGCGGGGAUGUCAAGUCCUCAUGGCCCUUAUGGGUAGGGCUUCACACGUCAUGCAAUGGUCAGUGAGGUCGCCAACCCGCGAGGGGGAGCCAAUCCCAGAAACCCGAUCGUAGUCCGGAUGCGGUCUGCUCGACUGCGUGAAGUCGGAAUCGCUAGUAAUCAUGGCGGAUCAAUAUCGCGGUGAAUACGUUCCCGGGUCUUGUAUACACCGCCCGUCACCAUGGGAGUGGGUUUUACCAAGUAGUUAGCCUAACCGUAAGGAGGGCGAUUACCACGGUAGGAUUCAUGACGGGGUGAAGUCAUGUGGCACAAGGUAG